AUCUCCCCCACCCCCCCAGCGCCCCGCCGAGCCCCAUCUUGGGGCGCCUCCGCCUGCGGCCUCCCCGGCGCCGCUGCGGAGCGGGGCCGCCCCGGCGCGGGGUGGGACCCCCCUGCUCUUCCCCUCCCGCCGGCCGGGGCGCGGGGCAGAGCAGGGCGGGCGACGCCGGCCUGACGGGACCCCACCCCCACCCCCAGCGUCUCACCCCGGAGAGGGUUUUAGUCAGGGCCGGGUGACACGAAACGCGCCGUUCCCGCCACCCCGGGCUGGCGGAGAAGCGCGUUAAAGCCGGGGCUCGGGGGCGGCCCCGCGGCCUGCCCCCCGCCUCCAGCCCCGGGCUCAUCCCGCCUCGGCGGCUGGCGGGGGCCGCUCGGCCCCGGUCCCGAAGUUCUCCCUGCAAACCCCGGGUGGCAGCUUAGUUACAGCUCGGAGGUGGGUCGAAGUUCUCGUCCCAGCAGAUAAUGGUUGCUUUGAAUUAGUUUGGCACACCGCGAGCAGGAAACGUAAAUGCUGGGGGCAGCGUUUCUCACGUUUCUGUAAGGUUUUCGAGAUCUGCUGCUGAUGGGUGUUUCAGAUAUCUGCCUUCAAGACCAAAAUCUGCCUUUGUUUUUCUGAGCUGGGGAAGAGCAUGCCAUGGACACUGCUGCAAUCUAAAUAGUAAAAAUGCCUAAAUAGUACAUUUAUUUACUGGGGUCUCAUUUUUAAAUCUGUUUUCCCCUGUCUUUGAAAGACUACUUUUUAUAUCACUGCAGUUACUUUGGAUAAAGCAGGGAAUAGCUGUUUCACAAUAUGGCUGCUGUGAAAGCACAAUACUCCGAAUUGCAGGGAGACUGAAGAAGAAGCCCUGAGCUCUGGAAUUUAAAGUCUUAAAAAUAAGGAUUAAUUAGGUAAAAGGAAAGCCUACUUUAUUUUAUCCUUCGUCGAAAAGAUCUUUCAAAUUGCAUUGGACAACCAGCUGAUCAGAUAAGGAACAAGAUUGUCACAGCAACAGCAGUGUUUUAAAAGAGGAAAUGAAGAAUAAUGUAUCCAAUUGGAACUAGAGGGGGGAAUGUAAUUACCUGAAGCAGAAUAUGUUCAGGAUAUGGGCUAACAGUUCUCCUAUUGAAAGAAAAAAAAGUCGUCUUACAUGUUUUAACAGUUUCAAGGCUUCAGAAGUUUUGUUUCCCUCUUUUCCCAGCAGAGCACUUUCAACAGCACAUGAUGCAGAAAGGUUACUACCUUCUGAAUCACCAGCUCCACUUCCUGUGUUACUUGGAUAGUUCUUCAAAGUCUUCUAUAAAAGGACUGGGUGCAAUGUCAAUUAAAUGGUGAUGGCUGAUAAAAUCACAAUUUAGGUAGUAUGACAGUAAAGAGUUCUACACCAAUGCUCUGUUUCCCCCCUUUAUAAUUCUGCGUUCUUGCUGAGAAAGUCCUUCUUCACACUGUUCCUAGAUCCUUUAGCAUAGUGCACUGAGCAGAAAACCUGAAUAGCCCGAGCGAAGGCAGCGCUUGGAUCAAACUGGUAGUCCUACUCAAGUAAACACUAGUUUUGCUUGAAUAAACACUAAGAACUGCAAAUCGGCAAGGUUGAGCCUGCCAGGACAGUGUGAUGGAGAGAGGGUUCUUUUGACCCUGUUUUGCCAGACUACUAAAGUACAGUUUUACCUUGGGAAAACAGUGUUUAUGAUUACAACUGAAUGUCAGUACCAAUAUUUUAACUAUCAUGUCUUGCUUUGUUCUUUGAUUUUUUUUCAUUAUUAUUCUUUUUUAGAAUACUCAUUUAUAUCUAGAUUCAGAUUGUGUCUGAAGACAGAGGAAAAGUUACUGUUGAUUUUAAUGAGCUUUAUACCAGGACUUAAAUGCAGCUCUGGAGGCAUAUGCAACAUUUAGCAAUACUUGCAUUUUAAAAUAUAUUCACUUCUGGUUUACAUCAAUAUUAAGACAGAAGCAACUAUAUUUAAUGAUGACAGGUCUAAAAAUACUCAGUAUUUUUUUGCCCUGCUUUCCCCAACAGCAGAAUUAUAUCUCCAUUAACAUAGCGAUUGAAACAUUGAAAUAUAAAUAUGAUUUUUCUUUGCUUUCUUUAUUUCUGUCCACUUCAGAAUCAAGCCUUAAUUAACACAAGGGGCAAAAAACAUUCAAAGGAGCCUCUUGAAAUCAUUAGCGUUACAUUAGCAAUUCAUUAGUUUUGGUGACUUGGUUUGGUCAGCAGAACAAAAUGUACAGCACAGAAAGAAGAAUUUAUUUCAUAACUUCAUUAGGUCAUUUUCUCCUUAGCUUUUCUUGUAGACGUGGCCUUGUACUGCCAUAUCUUUCCUCUGGCUAUGGAAGCUGCUGCUCAAACUACAAUCCAGGAGAGAGGUCUGAGUGAGGAUUGUUAAAGCAAUCUACACCAAGGAAUACACAUAUUCCUUUUAAUGCUAGCUGAAAAACAGGAUAAUUUUUUCAUGAAUCUUUUAGUAAAAAGAAUGUGUUGCGUGUUUGUUAGUUGAUGAAAAUUUCAACAUUUUACUUCUUUCUUAAAAAGUUCAGUAAAGGGCUAACCCCACAAAUGACUGUUUCAUUAAGGUGUUUGCCAAGAAUCUAACUGGGUAUUUUAGUUGGACAGCAAUGUUUUAGUGAAAUGUUUUAUCCCCAAAAUAACCAAAGUAAAAGUGGGGAAAUGUUGACAAGCUUUACGUUUUUUGUUCUAUAUAUACAUAUAUUUGCAAACCUUCUCCAAAUGACAUUGCUACAUUUGCCACAGGCUAUGGCUUGCAGUCUGAUCUGGAGAAAUUUUGACGUAUUUGCAUGUCUUACGGGCUUUAUUAUAAACGAUGGAAUCAGACAUUUUGAUGUCCCUCUGCCACCACUCAUUCCCCCUUUCCGUGGUCUUUGUAGCUUUGUUUAUUUUUGCUGUCAUUACAUUCUGUUCUGCUUUUGCUACAGACUUACGGCCCUUCUUUCAGGAUGGUUUAGCAGCUAGCAGGCCUACCACAUAUUUGUCCCUUUCUGACGUUGCUUGCAGAAAGACUCUGGGGCCUGAUCCCUCGUUGCUUGACCUGCACGAGGUUCUGAAUAGAUUAUUCAUAUAACAGAUUUAAUGUUUUUUUUUUUCAUUUUGUUACUGAUACGCUGUGUGGUUCUCAUGAACUUUGAAUUUAAGAUUUGUUAAUAUCUUAGAUGUCUGUUUUGUUAAAUUCCUUGAAGUUAUAUCAAUAAAAAAUACUAAUUUGAAAUGUAAA